UACAGAGGCCCCAAGCAUUAUCCGGAAUUACUGGGCGUAAAGGGUGUCGAGGCGGUCGUGUUAGUCGUUCGUAAAAUCUACGAGCUUAACUUGUAGGCAGCGAGCGAAACGGCACGACUCGAGGGUGGGAGAGGUGCGUGGAACUCUAGGUGUAGGGGUGAAAUCCGUUGAUAUCUAGGGGAACACCAAAGGCGAAGGCAGCGCACUGGCCCAUUCCUGACGCUCACACACGAAAGCCAGGGUAGGCGAAACGGG
rnacentral:rRNA from 1 species